ACUCGGAGCUGCCAUGAGCUUCAUACUCCACGGCCGGACGACCGAAGCGUAGCGAAGAGAAGCAGCUUGCACGUAACAGGUAGGUCGCCUGAGGACUAGAUGAUCCCUUACGCGACUGCGGCGGAGGCGGAGGCGGCGCUGGGGCGCGCCAUGACAUGGGCGGAAGCUGUGUGGUAUCAGUACUCGGCGGCGAUGCCAGAUUCCUGGCUCCACUGCCUCACUACAUGUAUCCUCUUCGUCAUCUACACGAUCACACCGCUGCCCCUCCUAGUCCUCGAGCAGUUCGCUCCGUCCGUCGUGCUGCCGUACAAGCUGCAGCCCCGGGUACAGGUGCCGCUGGCAGCCUCCCUCCGCUGCUAUAUGGAAGCGGCGUUCGUCUUUCCCGUCGCCGUUGGCUUCCAGCUCGUCUCGUAUCCCGCCGCCGCCAAGAUACUGAGGACUCGAAUGGGACUGCCGUUGCCGUCCGUCAGGGAGACAGUUGCGCAGCUGGUGGUAUACUCUCUCUUGGAGGACUACCUCAGCUACUGGAUCCACCGUCUUCUGCACACCAAGUGGGGCUACGAGAAGAUCCACCGUGUCCACCAUGAGUUUACGGCUCCUACAGGCUUCGCCAUGUCAUACAGCCACUGGGCCGAGAACCUCCUCCUUUCCAUCCCCGCCUUGGCUGGCCCAGUCAUUGCGCCAUGCCACAUCACCACGCAGUGGCUCUGGUUCUCCAUCCGCCUAAUCGAGGGCAUUAACAUACACAGCGGUUACCACUUCCCAUUCAGCCCUUCCAAGUUGAUUCCCUUCUACGGAGGCGCUGCAUACCAUGACUAUCAUCACUACGCAGGAGGGCACAGUCAAAGCAACUUUGCCCCUCUUUUCACCUAUUGUGAUUAUUUAUAUAGGACAGACAAAAAAUCACGUCCAUCUGAUGUGAGUUGGUCCCUCUUUGUGUUUUUCUUCGAAACUAUGUUACCUUUUCACGGAGUUGUUACACUGUUUUCAUAGAAGUUGCUCAGAACAAGUAUUUUAGUAAGUUACAUGUAGUGUUACCACCAAAGAAUUCUAUAAUUACUGGUUCAUAAGACAUCAUCUAUAGGUCUCGUAUAUAUACUUAGGCCACCCAAGUAAAGCACAGUAAUACAAACUAAAAGCAAAACAACAAACUAAAGGCGAAAUAAAGUGUGGUUUCAAAGAUGUGAUCCUUUGAAUGUAGCCAUGCAUAUUGUGCCAUGUGUCCACCACAUAUCUGAAAGCACCAUGCUACCAAACAAGAAAGAGAUCAAACAGAUAGCAGUGUGUUAUUACCAAAUAAGACAAGCAGACGCAAAAAUUACAAUAUGACGAAACUUUUUUAAAGAUGAAUCUACAUAGUAUUUUCAAGUAUGUGUAAGAUGAAAUUUACCUAUGAGUAUUUAUUGUAUUUGCUGCAUAGUACUGUCACUCUCACACUAACUAUUGUUUAUUAUUUUGUUUUUUUCAGGGCUACAGAUACCACAAGUUAAAGCAAGCGAAGCUGAAGAGUCUGGAAGAAGAUAAUGUGGAGAAGAAAGGAGGCAGCACUGCGUUCUGCAACGGGAAAAAGGACUGAGAUAUUUUUGUGCCUGAAUAUUGGAUAUACGGAGAUUGUUACUAUUAUUACCAGCCCUGAUCGGAGGGGAGAUCCACAAAUAAAUAAUCUCAAUUUACUGCAGAGGGUCUUGAUUGAUCGACGCACAAAUGUACACUUGUGUAAUCUGUCUAGUGCUUUGUAUAUUGCAAUAAACCUAUGUUGUCUAAUUAUGUAAGAAAAUAUUAUGUCAACUUAUCCAAACUAACGUUCGAGCAGUGAA